AAACAAGAAGCGAUUAAUUGCACCCAGUUUCGACCUGGUUCUAGAUGUCUUCAUCCUUGUUUU
rnacentral:tRNA from 1 species